CGCUGGCGGCGUGCCUAAUACAUGCAAGUCGAACGAACUCUGGUAUUGAUUGGUGCUUGCAUCAUGAUUUACAUUUGAGUGAGUGGCGAACUGGUGAGUAACACGUGGGAAACCUGCCCAGAAGCGGGGGAUAACACCUGGAAACAGAUGCUAAUACCGCAUAACAACUUGGACCGCAUGGUCCGAGUUUGAAAGAUGGCUUCGGCUAUCACUUUUGGAUGGUCCCGCGGCGUAUUAGCUAGAUGGUGGGGUAACGGCUCACCAUGGCAAUGAUACGUAGCCGACCUGAGAGGGUAAUCGGCCACAUUGGGACUGAGACACGGCCCAAACUCCUACGGGAGGCAGCAGUAGGGAAUCUUCCACAAUGGACGAAAGUCUGAUGGAGCAACGCCGCGUGAGUGAAGAAGGGUUUCGGCUCGUAAAACUCUGUUGUUAAAGAAGAACAUAUCUGAGAGUAACUGUUCAGGUAUUGACGGUAUUUAACCAGAAAGCCACGGCUAACUACGUGCCAGCAGCCGCGGUAAUACGUAGGUGGCAAGCGUUGUCCGGAUUUAUUGGGCGUAAAGCGAGCGCAGGCGGUUUUUUAAGUCUGAUGUGAAAGCCUUCGGCUCAACCGAAGAAGUGCAUCGGAAACUGGGAAACUUGAGUGCAGAAGAGGACAGUGGAACUCCAUGUGUAGCGGUGAAAUGCGUAGAUAUAUGGAAGAACACCAGUGGCGAAGGCGGCUGUCUGGUCUGUAACUGACGCUGAGGCUCGAAAGUAUGGGUAGCAAACAGGAUUAGAUACCCUGGUAGUCCAUACCGUAAACGAUGAAUGCUAAGUGUUGGAGGGUUUCCGCCCUUCAGUGCUGCAGCUAACGCAUUAAGCAUUCCGCCUGGGGAGUACGGCCGCAAGGCUGAAACUCAAAGGAAUUGACGGGGGCCCGCACAAGCGGUGGAGCAUGUGGUUUAAUUCGAAGCUACGCGAAGAACCUUACCAGGUCUUGACAUACUAUGCAAAUCUAAGAGAUUAGACGUUCCCUUCGGGGACAUGGAUACAGGUGGUGCAUGGUUGUCGUCAGCUCGUGUCGUGAGAUGUUGGGUUAAGUCCCGCAACGAGCGCAACCCUUAUUAUCAGUUGCCAGCAUUAAGUUGGGCACUCUGGUGAGACUGCCGGUGACAAACCGGAGGAAGGUGGGGAUGACGUCAAAUCAUCAUGCCCCUUAUGACCUGGGCUACACACGUGCUACAAUGGAUGGUACAACGAGUUGCGAACUCGCGAGAGUAAGCUAAUCUCUUAAAGCCAUUCUCAGUUCGGAUUGUAGGCUGCAACUCGCCUACAUGAAGUCGGAAUCGCUAGUAAUCGCGGAUCAGCAUGCCGCGGUGAAUACGUUCCCGGGCCUUGUACACACCGCCCGUCACACCAUGAGAGUUUGUAACACCCAAAGUCGGUGGGGUAACCUUUUAGGAACCAGCCGCCUAAG
rnacentral:rRNA from 2 species